rnacentral:rRNA from 1 species
UACGUAGGUGGCAAGCGUUGUCCGGAUUUACUGGGCGUAAAGAGCGCGCAGGCGGUCGGAUAAGUCGAAUGUGAAAGCCCCCGGCUCAACUGGGGAGGGUCAUUCGAUACUGUUCGACUCGAAGGCAGGAGAGGGAAGUGGAAUUCCGGGUGUAGUGGUGAAAUGCGUAGAUAUCGGGAGGAACACCAGUGGCGAAGGCGACUUCCUGGCCUGUUCUUGACGCUGAGGCGCGAAAGCUAGGGGAGCAAACGGG